GUGGGGCGGGCCUGGAGUCACGAGGACAGGAGAGACCAAUCCGAACUCGCGAGGGGGGGGUCCCUCAGCGGCCCCGCCCCUGGGACGAGCGACCCCUCCACCCAGCGCGGCGGGGGAACCCCGAGGGUAGGCUGGGAGGAGCCAGGGUGCCGAGCACCCACCGCUCACUGGAAGUCUGCGUGCGGUUAGCUGAUGAAGGAACAAAAGACAUAGUUCCUGCAAGCAUCAAACCAGGGCCCAAGCUUGGGAGGCAAGUCUGUUGUGGAGAGCCUCCAGCCACUAUGCCAAGAAGGGCCUCCAUGUUUGCCACUGACCAUGAGCUCACCCACAGAGCUGACGGAGAGGUCUUGACAAUCCAUGGAAUUUAGGGGAGCCUGACCGUGGCUACAACCCUAGUCUGUGGUGGUGUACCCAAAGGAGCUCCCUGGGUCUUGUCCUCUCUCAGAUAUCCUCCCCGCUGCACCUCACCCUGGGAUACUGCCCCACACCUGGGUCAUUGCAGCCCCCUCCCUGCCGUGCAGGAGAGGGCCCCAUACUGGACACUGGGAGCCCUGAGUGCGAGUCUCACUUCUGCCAACAACAACCACUGUGUAUUUUGGGGCAAGUCCCUUAACCUCUCUGGGUCUUGAAUCCCUUAGCUGUAGGAGGGAGAUAAUAAUCCUAUAAGGCCCUCAAGUGUUGCUUUGAGAAGCAAGAUAAUGAGUGUGAAAAUCUUUCAUUUACUCUAAAGUGUGAGUAGCAUUUAUUAUUAUUUAUCCUGGAAACCCUUCCUUGGGGCCCUCCUAAGUGAACCUAAGAGUGAAUGGUUAGUAAUGAACUUUUAGUUUCCCCUCCCAGACCAUUAUUUGCACUUGUAACCAAGAUGUUCCAUGCCUGCAUUCAGAGGAAAGAGUAGGGAAUAAAUUUGAGGUUCGCAGACAUACUGGGGGAGAACAUUCCCAAGCAGGAGGUCCUGCUUCCUUCACUGGAUGCUCAGCAGACCUCACGAUCUCUCCUCAUGAAAGGAUGGACAUCGGUAUCUGUGUCAGGGAACUCUUUGAGCAGAAGGCUGAGGGGGGGAAGUGUCCAAGGACAAACACUUGCUGGGGAACAACUUCACAACAUCCUCCAUUUGACACUCACUUGGGAGCUAGCUGAUGCGUCCAUGAGACUGUUCUCAGCAGAACACACCACGACAUUGGGAAGAGAAAAGAAUUCUUUUCCCUGAAUUCCUGUGUUACAUUAGUGAAAGGAGAGAAGAGGGCCAAAAAUUUCGUAAUGUUUGAAGGCCCCUUUCCUGGUGCAGGUGUUCGCCUGCAUUCCAAUAGGUCGGUGGCUGCUUUCUCUCUUGCUCAAUACUUCCUCCUGCAUUCAAUCCACAUUCUUGUUUCCUGUCCAGAGUUCCCCACUCCUGUUCCAGCAAUUUCUGUUCUCUAGGCCCCCAUUUCCUCCUCCUCAUCCCUCAAAUACAGACCC